AUAGGGCGCAUAAGUAACAGGUCGUAGACCCGAAACCAGGUGAUCUACCCAUGUCCAGGAUGAAGGUAAGGUAAUACUUACUGGAGGUCCGAACCCACGCACGUUGAAAAGUGCGGGGAUGAGGUGUGGGUAGCGGAGAAAUUCCAAUCGAACUUGGAGAUAGCUGGUUCUCUCCGAAAUAGCUUUAGGGCUAGCCUCGAGGUAAAGAGUCAUGGAGGUAGAGCACUGUUUGGACUAGGGGCCCUUCUCGGGUUACCGAAUUCAGAUAAACUCCGAAUGCCAUGUACUUAUACUCGGGAGUCAGACUGCGAGUGAUAAGAUCCGUAGUCGAAAGGGAAACAGCCCAGACCACCAGUUAAGGUCCCCAAAUAUAUGUUAAGUGGAAAAGGAUGUGGGGUUGCUUAGACAACCAGGAUGUUGGCUUAGAAGCAGCCACCAUUGAAAGAGUGCGUAAUAGCUCACUGGUCGAGUGACCCCGCGCCGAAAAUGUACCGGGGCUAAACAUAUUACCGAAACUGUGGAUGAACCUCUUUAGAGGUUCGUGGUAGGAGAGCGUUCUAAGGGCGGUGAAGUCAGACCGGAAGGACUGGUGGAGCGCUUAGAAGUGAGAAUGCCGGUAUGAGUAGCGAAAGAAGGGUGAGAAUCCCUUCCACCGAAUAUCUAAGGUUUCCUGAGGAAGGCUCGUCCGCUCAGGGUUAGUCGGGACCUAAGCCGAGGCCGAUAGGCGUAGGCGAUGGACAACAGGUAGAGAUUCCUGUACCAGUGCUAAUUGUUUAACCGAUGGGGUGACACAGAAGGAUAGGGAAUCGCACGAAUGGAAAUGUGCGUCCAAGCAGUGAGUGUGAGAAGUAGGCAAAUCCGCUUCUCGCGAAGCAUGAGCUGUGAUGGGGAAGGAAAUUAAGUACGGAAGUUCCUGAUUUCACGCUGUCAAGAAAAGCCUCUAGGAAGAGUAGUACUGCCCGUACCGCAAACCGACACAGGUAGAUGAGGAGAGAAUCCUAAGGUGAGCGAGAGAACUCUCGUUAAGGAACUCGGCAAAAUGACCCCGUAACUUCGGGAGAAGGGGUGCUCUAUUAGGGUGCAAGCCCGAGAGAGCCGCAGUGAAUAGGCCCAGGCGACUGUUUAGCAAAAACACAGGUCUCUGCAAAACCGUAAGGUGACGUAUAGGGGCUGACGCCUGCCCGGUGCUGGAAGGUUAAGAGGAGUGCUUAGCUUCGGCGAAGGUACGAAUUGAAGCCCCAGUAAACGGCGGCCGUAACUAUAACGGUCCUAAGGUAGCGAAAUUCCUUGUCGGGUAAGUUCCGACCCGCACGAAAGGCGCAACGAUCUGGGCACUGUCUCAACGAGAGACUCGGUGAAAUUAUAGUACCUGUGAAGAUGCAGGUUACCCGCGACAGGACGGAAAGACCCCGUGGAGCUUUACUGCAACCUGAUAUGGAAUGUUUGUACCGCUUGUACAGGAUAGGUAGGAGCCGAAGAGACGUGUGCGCUAGCAUACGAGGAGGCAAUGGUGGGAUACUACCCUGGCUGUAUGACCAUUCUAACCCGCCACGCUUAGCGCGUGGGGAGACAGUGUCAGGUGGGCAGUUUGACUGGGGCGGUCGCCUCCUAAAGAGUAACGGAGGCGCCCAAAGGUUCCCUCAGAAUGGAUGGAAAUCAUUCGCAGAGUGUAAAGGCACAAGGGAGCUUGACUGCGAGACUGACAAGUCGAGCAGGGACGAAAGUCGGGCUUAGUGAUCCGGUGGUUCCGCAUGGAAGGGCCAUCGCUCAACGGAUAAAAGCUACCCCGGGGAUAACAGGCUUAUCUCCCCCAAGAGUCCACAUCGACGGGGAGGUUUGGCACCUCGAUGUCGGCUCGUCGCAUCCUGGGGCUGUAGUCGGUCCCAAGGGUUGGGCUGUUCGCCCAUUAAAGCGGCACGCGAGCUGGGUUCAGAACGUCGUGAGACAGUUCGGUCCCUAUCCGUCGCGGGCGCAGGAAAUUUGAGAGGAGCUGUCCUUAGUACGAGAGGACCGGGAUGGACACACCGCUGGUGUACCAGUUGUUCCGCCAGGAGCAUCGCUGGGUAGCUAUGUGUGGCAGGGAUAAACGCUGAAAGCAUCUAAGCGUGAAGCCCCCCUCAAGAUGAGAUUUCCCAUUUCUUCGGAAAGUAAGAUCCCUGAAAGAUGAUCAGGUAGAUAGGUUUGGAGUGGAAGUGUAGCGAUACAUGGAGCGGACAAAUACUAAUCGAUCGAGGACUUAACCAA
rnacentral:rRNA from 1 species